rnacentral:lncRNA from 1 species
GUAUUAUCUGCAUGUAAGGGGGUGGGAUUGUGCUGUGGGAAACCAAGUUCAGAGAGGAGUCCUCGGAGCCAAAUGAUCUCGAAGCAGGCAGCAGACAUUGCUCGAUAUUCAGAUUCGGUCGAGGAUUUGGAAACCAUGCCCUGUUUCUUACUUUUUCAGGAGAUAAAUGCAUCACCAAGAAACAUGCACCAUCCUGUGGUAGAGCGACGAGUAUCUGGACAUCCUGCAUAACCGGCAUCACUAUAGCCGAUAAAAUCAAGUGUAGUGCUAGUAGGGAAGAACAGACCACGUGUAGGAGUCCCUCUGAUGUAUCGGAUGAUUCUGCGGACAACAAUUAAGUGUAGGUGUCUAGGAAUCUGCAUGAACUGGCUGACUUGUUGUACGGCAAAAGAGAUAUCUGGCCUUGUGAUGGUCAAGUAGACCAAGCUGCCUAUUAGCUUACGAUAAAUAGUAGGAUCAUCCAGAAGGUCUCCUUCAUCUCGGCGAUAUUUCACAUUAAGCUCAAAAGUGUCGACAGAGGAAGUAUCUUGGAGACGAGCCAGGUUGAUCAAAUCGAGGGCAUACUUAUGUUGAUUGAGAUACACUCCAGUGGAGCUGCGGUGGACUUCAAGACCAAGAAAAUGAUUAUGUGGUCAAGAUCUUUCAUAUGAAAAGAGGUCUGAAGGUUCUGUUGCAGCUGUUGAAUGAGAAGAGAGUCAGUACCCGUGACGACAAUAUCAUCUACGUAGACCAAGAGUAAGACAAGACCAGCCGGAGUCUUAUGGAGAAAUAAAGAAGAGUCAUAUUGACUCUGCUGAAAUGAAAGACCAAGAAGAGUGGUUCUAAACUUGUCAAACCACGCGCGAGGGGCCUGCUUCAGCCCAUAAAGAGACCGCUUCAGCCUGCAAACAUGAUUAAGAUGAGCUGCUGAACUGGAUGGGGGCUUCAUAUACACCUCUUCUUAAAUCACCAUGGAAAAAUGCAUUUUUGACGUCCAUCUGAUGAAUGGGCCAGUUUUGAGAGGCGGCUAUAGCAAAAACAAGACGAACAGUGGUCAUCUUGGCAACCGGGGCAAAGGUCUCUUCGUAAUCCACUCCAUAUUCUUGUUUGUUGCCUAAAGCAACCAGCCUUGCCUUAUAUCUGUCUACAGGCCCAUCAGAUCGAAAUUUAAUAGAGAAAACCCACUUACAUCCGAGAGGCUUGACUGUGGUAGGACAAGGGACAGGCUCCCAAGUGUUGUUGGCUGCGAGAGCAUCAAGUUCCUCCUGCAUAGCAUGUCUCCAACAUUGUUCAUUCGCAGCUUGAGAAUAACAAGUAGGGACUGCAAUGUUGGCCAGAGUUGCAGAGAGACAAUUAUGUGAGAAGCCAUAUCUGUCUGGAAGCCGAGUAGACCUAGCAGAGCGCCUGACAUCAGUAGGUAAGAAUGCUGGAGUAGCCUCCUCAGAAAUAGUGUGAGUAGAAGAUUCUGAGUUGAUAACAUGCAGCACAGUAACAACAGUGGUAGCAGGGUCAGAACUGACAACAUUGAGCUCCACUGGAGGUGAAGAAACUACAGGGGGAGCCGCAACUAUGGUGGGUGCAGUACUGCGGCGAGUAUAAACCAAACCUGGUUUAAAACGUCCAGAUGGAGGGCCUGCAACAUCAAUAAGAGGCAAGACAGCAACAGAAUCAAUAGUUAAGAAAUCCGAAACUGGAUUAGUGGCAAAAAAAGAUUGAUUUUCAAAGAAAAUCACAUUCCGAGACACCCGCAUUCUCUUAAGAGCUGGAUCAUAGCACAAGAAGCCCUUUUGAGAAGGACUAUAUCCCAUGAAGGCACAUUUGACUGACUGUGUAGAGAACUUGUAUCGUUCAUGCACUAGCAAGUGAACAAAGCAUACACACCCGAAGAUGUGAAGAUCCUGGUAUUGUCGAUUCUUGCCAAAGAGCCGCAAAUGAGGAGUGUCCAUGCCCAAGACUGGAGAGGGCAGCCUAUUAAUAACAUAGACGGCAAUAGAAAGUGCUUCUGUCUAGAAUUUGGAAGGGACGGAGGACUUAAGGAGCAAGGUCCGAGUAAUGUCAAGCAGGUGCCUAUUCUUUCUCUCGGCAACCCCAUUUUGUUGGGGUGUAUAAGGACAUGUCCGUUGGAAAAAAAUACCUUUCUGCUGUAAUAAGUCCAGAAAAUCAGAGGAUACAUGCUCCCCACCUGAGUCUGUUCGAAGAGCUUUGAUGCAAGUGGAAAACUGAUUCUCCACAUAAGCUAGAAAAUUCUUGAAGGUAGAAAAAACUUCUGACUUGGAGCGCAAAAAAUACAGCCAAGUGAACCGGCUGUAAUCAUCGAUGAAUGUGAUAAAAUAUUUAUAUUUUGCACAAGAAGGAACUGGUGUGAUACCCCAUACAUCACUGUGGACAAUCUCAAACAAAUAAUUUAGAAUACGAGUGUUUGGAUGGCCUAAACAUCGGUGCCAAACCUCACUCUUACUACAGACGGUGUUACUAGCAAAAGACAGCACAUCAGUAAGUGAUCUGUAGAGGAAAUAGUCUCCCAAUCUUAGGUCCCUUCGCUAUCACCUUGCCCGACCCCUGCUCCUACACGAUACAUCCAUUACGAGAGAAAACCAUAGCACAACUAUUGUCAACUAACUGUCCAACAGAAAGAAGAUUGGCAGAUAGCCCAAGAGCGAUAAACACAUCAUUGAAUGCAGCAGAAAUAUCUCCAACAACAGUAAUAGGAAUUGUGUUCUCGCUAGCAGUUUGGAUAUGUGAAUUGCCAUGAUACUUUCAAAUAUUUUGAAGCAUAUCAGGGGUCCUAGUCAUGUGAUUUGAGGCACCAGAAUCAAGGAACCAAGAUUUAGAAGAGACAUAGAAAUUACCUUGAAGACCCAGAGCAAAAAAAGCAGAGAUAAUCAUCUGCUGCAUCAUGGCUGGAGUUAUGGAUGGAGCAAAUGUAGAGGAUUCUUCACAUGAUGAAGUAGAAGAGGCAGCAGACUCCACCGAGGUUUGAUAAGCCUUUGGCUUGGAAGGACGGAUGGGGCAUUCUAUGAUGAUAUGACCAUUUUUCUUGCAAUAAUUGCAGAAUUUCUUGCUGCAAUUUACAGCGAUAUGGCCAUAUUCUUUACAGCUAUAGCACUGAACUGUGCUCAUAUUUCUAGACCUGGAUCUUCCCUGGGCAGUAAAGGCAACUGGAGGACUGUUGUUGGCAUCUUUCUCCAAGAGAGCCUGAGUAAUUCCCCUCUGUUCUGCACGCAGCAGCUCUCCUAGGCAAACAACCAGAGAGGGAGUGACCUCCCUGUUAAGCAAGGCAGAUCUAAUAGCUUUAAAUUCAAGACGCAAGCGCAUGAGAAAUUGAUCCUUUUGGUUUGUGGCAUGGACUUGGUGCACAGCAGCCAAGCCUUCUGCAGGAACUUUAGCUUGAAUAAGGCCAGAAUCAACAAGGCCAGAAUACUCAGUCCAUAGAUUAAGAAAACCUGAGUAAUACUCUUGAAUUGACAAAUUGCCUUGAGAGAAAUUGGCAAUCUCCAACUCAAGCUGAUAGCGCCUAGCAUUAUUGUCAUGAUUGAACACAAGUUUGAGGUAAUCCCACAUCUAUUUUGCAGUGGAAUAUGGACGAAGACUCAGAACUAUAUGAGAGUCAACAGACCUGAGAAUCCAGGCAGUGGCUAUCCAUUCAGCCCUUUUUUCAACCUCAGUUUCUACUGGGAGCUUUAUGGAGCCAUCAAUAUAGCCCCACAGCUUUUUGCCUUGAAGAAGAGUUUGAAAUUGAAACUCCCAAGUCGAAUAAUUCCUCCUUGUGAACUUGAUGCAAACAGCUUCAUGCUUCUCUAUAAUGACAGACAGAAGACCUCGAACAAGAAUAAGAUGAAUAAAAAAAACAGAAAAGAACCAAGAUGUUAGAACUAGGGGAGCACCAAAAAAAACCACCAGAGAUAAGCACUAGAAUGCUUUGAACCAGGACUAGGACAAGAAGCUCCACAAGCUAAGAGAUUUUCAAAGAAAACUAGGAAGAAGUAGCUCUAAUACCAUGUCAGAAUAUUUGAUAUCCCUUGCUCUUAGGCUCUCUUUCCAUUAAAUAGAGGAUUCAAAACAGCUAUACAUGGAAAGUAAAUCAGGGAGAAUUAGCCAUCCCUGAUUUCUAGCUAUCACCUAUAAUUACAUAGCUAUAUUAGGACAGCUAUGCAUGAAAAGUAAAUCAAGGAGAAUUAGCCAUCCCUGAUUCCUAGCUAUCACCUAUAAUUACAGCUGUUAUCUCUAAAUAAUUACAGAGUUAAUACUCCUAAUUGUGCUGCUCAUGUGACAAGAGAUAUCUGGCCUUGUGAUGGUCAAGUAGACCAAGCAGCCUACCAGCUUACGAUAAAUAGUAGGAUCAUCCAGAAGGUCUCCUUCAUCUCGGCGAUAUUUCACAUUA